GCUCAACCGAGGAAGUGCUUCGAAAACUGGUAAACUUGAGUGCAGAAGAGGAAAGUGGAACUCCAUGUGUAGCGGUGGAAUGCGUAGAUAUAUGGAAGAACACCAGUGGCGAAGGCGGCUUUCUGGUCUGUAACUGACGCUGAGAUUCGAAAGCAUGGGUAGCAAACAGGAUUAGAUACCCUGGUAGUCCAUGCCGUAAACGAUGAGUGCUAAGUGUUGGAGGGUUUCCGCCCUUCAGUGCUGCAGCUAACGCAUUAAGCACUCCGCCUGGGGAGUACGAUCGCAAGAUUGAAACUCAAAGGAAUUGACGGGGGCCCGCACAAGCGGUGGAGCAUGUGGUUUAAUUCGAAGCAACGCGAAGAACCUUACCAGGUCUUGACAUACCAUGAAAAGCUUAGAGAUAAGUCUUUCCCUUCGGGGACAUGGAUACAGGUGGUGCAUGGUUGUCGUCAGCUCGUGUCGUGAGAUGUUGGGUUAAGUCCCGCAACGAGCGCAACCCUUAUUAUCAGUUGCCAGCAUUCAGUUGGGCACUCUGGUGAGACUGCCGGUGAUAAACCGGAGGAAGGUGGGGACGACGUCAAAUCAUCAUGCCCCUUAUGACCUGCGCUACACACGUGCUACAAUGGUCGGUACAACG
rnacentral:rRNA from 1 species